AGUUCCCUCAAGUUAUCAGAGGAAGUGAGACAGUACCUCAACACCCCAACUUUUGACAAUUGAUGUGUGGGCUGAUCUGGCUGACGGACCUGAAAAGUAACAUUGACGCCAUUGACCUGCUCACCAUACUGACCUCUGCGGUUUGUCACGACCUUGAUCACACGGGAUACAACAACGCCUACCAGGUGACCCAUCUACUGUAUCUGACCACCACAGUUACACUCUGUGUGUGUGAGUGCGUGUGCAUCUGAGUAAACGGAUAGCUCACAUCAGCUCUAUCUUUCAAAGAAAUGCUCAUACUGAAGUGGCCCUGCACUACAAUCUCCCCCUUGGAGAACCACCACUUUGCUGUGGCUUUUGAGUUUCUGGAGAAGGUAUGGGUGGCUGGAGUUGGGCUAUGGUGUGGAUCAAAUUUUCAGAUGACAACAGUACACUGUUGGUCUUUCUUACAGAAUGAAAACAACAUUUUCAGAAAUUUGACAUCUGAACAGUAUAACUAGAUAAGAGGGCAUCACCAAGUAAGAAUGUAUUUCUUAGCUGCCCUUCCACCACAAACACGUUUACGGUUAUCUAACCAUAACGUGUGUAAAGUGCAUCAAACCUUUAGGAAAACCACAUGAUUCACAUGUGUAAAAUCACAUGUGUCACGACCCCUCCUCUGCAGUGCAGGGGGCGGUUCCUCCUGCAGGCAGAGGAGGGUCGUUAGGGAUUGGAGUCACCUGGGCUCAGGGUAUUUAAACUGCUGCUUCACUAAUCUCUCUCUCUCUCUCUGCUCCUCCAGGUAUGAUCCUGUUUUGUUUGUUCCUUUGUAGUUUUGCAUAGUUUUCACUCAGUCAUGUUCACACACACAGAUUCACGCAUCCAUGCACUUUACAUACACCUUACAUCAUGAUACUUCCACACCUCAUUCCUUUUUCUUAGUUUAAAGUUAAUAGUUUGUUGUAGAAUAAAGAACCUUUUUAAAUUGGCC